GACGAACGCUGGCGGCGUGCUUAACACAUGCAAGUCGAACGGAAAGGCCCUGCUUUUGUGGGGUGCUCGAGUGGCGAACGGGUGAGUAACACGUGAGUAACCUGCCCCUGACUUUGGGAUAACUUCAGGAAACUGGGGCUAAUACCGGCUAGGAGCUCCUGCUGCAUGGUGGGGGUUGGAAAGUUUCGGCGGUUGGGGAUGGACUCGCGGCUUAUCAGCUUGUUGGUGGGGUAGUGGCUUACCAAGGCCUUGACGGGUAGCCGGCCUGAGAGGGUCACCGGCCACGUUGGGACUGAGAUGCGGCCCGGACUCCUACGGGAGGCAGCGGUGGGGAAUAGUGCACAAUGGGCGGAGGCCUGAUGCAGCAACGCCGCGUGCGGGAUGACGGCCUUCGGGUUGUAAACCGCUUUCGCCUGUGACGAAGCGUGAGUGACGGUAAUGGGUAAAGAAGCACCGGCUAACUACGUG
rnacentral:rRNA from 1 species